AAAAUGACUCUCGGCAACGGAUAUCUCGGCUCUUGCAUCGAUGAAGAACGUAGCGAAAUGCGAUACUUGGUGUGAAUUGCAGAAUCCCGUGAACCAUCGAGUCUUUGAACGCAAGUUGCGCCCAAAGCCAUUAGGCCGAGGGCAAGCCUGCCUGGGUGUCACAC
rnacentral:rRNA from 1 species